rnacentral:rRNA from 1 species
UACGUAGGGUGCGAGCGUUGUCCGGAAUUAUUGGGCGUAAAGGGCUCGUAGGCGGUUUGUCGCGUCGGGAGUGAAAACUCAGGGCUUAACCCUGAGCCUGCUUCCGAUACGGGCAGACUAGAGUCAGGUAGGGGAGAACGGAAUUCCUGGUGUAGCGGUGAAAUGCGCAGAUAUCAGGAGGAACACCGGUGGCGAAGGCGGUUCUCUGGGCCUGUACUGACGCUGAGGAACGAAAGCGUGGGGAGCGAACAGG